AACGAACGCUGGCGGCGUGCCUAACACAUGCAAGUCGUGCGAGAAAGUUCCUUCGGGAGCGAGUAAAGCGGCGCACGGGUGAGUAACACGUAGGUAACCUGCCCCCCAGUCUGGAACAACUAGAGGAAACUCUAGCUAAUGCCGGAUGAGACCACGAUCCCUUCGGGGGUUGCGGCCAAAGAUGGCCUCUACUUGUAAGCUAUCGCUGAGGGAUGGGCCUGCGGGCCAUUAGCUUGUUGGUGAGGUAACGGCUCACCAAGGCUGUGAUGGCUAGCUGGUCUGAGAGGAUGACCAGCCACACUGGGACUGAGACACGGCCCAGGCUCCUACGGGAGGCAGCAGUGGGAAUAUUGCGCAAUGGGCGAAAGCCUGUCGCAGCGACGCCGCGUGGGUGAUGAAGGCCU
rnacentral:rRNA from 1 species